rnacentral:rRNA from 1 species
AGGAAAAGAAACUAACAAGGAUUCCCCUAGUAACUGCGAGUGAAGCGGGAAAAGCUCAAAUUUAAAAUCUGGCGGUCUCUGGCUGUCCGAGUUGUAAUCUAGAGAAGUAAUGCCCGUGCUGGACCGUGUAUAAGUCUCCUGGGAUGGGGCGUCAUAGAGGGUGAGAAUCCCGUCUUUGACACGGACUACCAGUGCAUUGUGGUAUGCUCUCAAAGAGUCGAGUUGUUUGGGAAUGCAGCUCAAAAUGGGUGGUAAAUUCCAUCUAAAGCUAAAUAUUGGCGAGAGACCGAUAGCGAACAAGUACCGUGAGGGAAAGAUGAAAAGAACUUUGGAAAGAGAGUUAAACAGUACGUGAAAUUGCUGAAAGGGAAACGCUUGAAGUCAGUCGCGUUGGCCAGGGAUCAGCCUUGCUUUUGCAUGGUGUACUUUCUGGUUGAUGGGUCAGCAUCAAUUUUGACCGCUGGAAAAAGACCUGGGGAAUGUGGCAGCUUCGGCUGUGUUAUAGCCCCUAGUCGCAUACAGUGGUUGGGAUUGAGGAACUCAGCACGCCGCAAGGCCGGGUUUCGACCACGUUCGUGCUUAGGAUGCUGGCAUAAUGGCUUUAAGCGACCCGUCUUGAAACACGGACCAAGGAGUCUAACAUGCCUGCGAGUAUUUGGGUGGAAAACCCAAGUGCGUAAUGAAAGUGAAAGUUGAGAUCCCUGUCGUGGGGAGCAUCGACGCCCGGACCAGAACUUUUGGGACGGAUCCGCGGUGGAGCAUGUAUGUUGGGACCCGAAAGAUGGUGAACUAUGCCUGAAUAGGGUGAAGCCAGAGGAAACUCUGGUGGAGGCUCGUAGCGAUUCUGACGUGCAAAUCGAUCGUCAAAUUUGGGUAUAGGGGCGAAAGACU